AGGACGAACGCUGGCGGCGUGCUUAACACAUGCAAGUCGAGCGAGGCCCUCUCUUCGGAGAGGUGCCCUAGCGGCGAACGGGUGAGUAACACGUGGGCAACCUGCCCCUAGCACUGGGAUAAGCCCGGGAAACCGGGUCUAAUACCGGAUAUGACCUUCAAGGGCAUCCUCGAAGGUGUAAAGGAUUCUGGCUAGGGAUGGGCCCGCGGCCUAUCAGCUUGUUGGUGGGGUAACGGCCCACCAAGGCAACGACGGGUAGCCGGCCUGAGAGGGCGACCGGCCACACUGGGACUGAGACACGGCCCAGACUCCUACGGGAGGCAGCAGUGGGGAAUAUUGCACAAUGGGCGAAAGCCUGAUGCAGCGACGCCGCGUGAGGGAUGACGGCCUCGGUUGUAACCUCUUUCAGCUCCGACGAAGCGAAAGUGACGGUAGGAGCAGAAGAAGCACCGGCCAACUACGUGCACGCAGCCGC
rnacentral:rRNA from 1 species